rnacentral:rRNA from 1 species
GUGUCAGCCGCCGCGGUAAUACGUAGGUGACGAGCGUUAUCCGGAAUUAUUGGGCGUAAAGCGCACGCAGGCGGCCUGUCAAGUCUGACGUGAAAUCUCCCAGCUUAACUGGGAGCGGUCGUUGGAAACUGAUGGGCUUGAGGCAAGGAGAGGGGUGUGGAAUUCCCGGUGUAGUGGUGGAAUGCGUAGAGAUCGGGAGGAACAUCAGUGGCGCAAGCGGCACCCUGGCCUUGGCCUGACGCUCAGGUGCGAAAGCGUGGGGAGCGAACGGGAUUAGAUACCCGUGUAGUCC